rnacentral:rRNA from 1 species
AAUAUUGCACAAUGGGCGCAAGCCUGAUGCAGCGACGCCGCGUGGGGGAUGACGGCCUUCUGGUUGUAAACCUCUUUCGACAGGGACGAAGUGAAAAUGACGGUACCUGUAUAAGAAGCACCGGCUAACUACGUGCCAGCAGCCGCGGUAAUUCGUAGGGUGCGAGAGUGGUCCGGAAUUACUGGGCGUAAAGAGCUCGUAGUUGGUUUGUCACGUCGUCGGAGAAAGUCCGGGGAUUAAACUCGGGAGGGCAGGCGAUACGGGCAAUACUUGAGUGCUGUAGGGGAGACUGGAAUUCCUGGUGUAGCGGUGAAAUGCGCAGAUAUCAGGAGGAACACCAAUGGCGAAGGCAGGUCUCUGGGCAGUUACUGACGCUGAGGAGCGAAAGCGUGGGUAGCAAACAGG